CAAUAGUGUAUAUUAAAGUUGUUGCAGUUAAAAAGCUCGUAGUUGGAUUUGUGGCGUACGGUGUGUUCCGGGCACUUGUUGUCUGAGUAACCUGCUGUUGCCAUCCUUGGGUGGAACCUGUGUGGCAUUAGGUUGUCGUGCAGGGGAUGCCCAUCAUUUACUGUGAAAAAAUUAGAGUGUUCAAAGCAGGCUUAUGCCGUUGAAUAUAUUAGCAUGGAAUAAUGAGAUAGGACUUUUUUGCUAUUUUGUUGGUUUGCGCAAAGAGGUAAUGAUUAAUAGGGACAGUUGGGGGUAUUCGUAUUCCAUUGUCAGAGGUGAAAUUCUUGGAUUUUUGGAAGACGAACUACUGCGAAAGCAUUUACCAAGGAUGUUUUCAUUAA
rnacentral:rRNA from 1 species